AUAGCAGAGCCUCCCUUUCUGUCCACUCUGCUUCCAGUUUCCAAGAUAUGAGGAGGUGAGGCAUCUCAGCUGCAAACUCCUGCUGCCAUGAAGCUCUUGCCUCCAUAGCUUCUCUUCAUGAUGGACAGCAUCACCUCAACAUUGCUAUCUGGAUGGAAGCUGGGAAGAGGGCUCAGCUAUUAAGGAACUCACUGUGUAAGCACGAAGACUGGUGUUUGGAUGUCCAGAAAACAAAAUGCCUGGUGGGCAGGACUGCCUACUUAUAAUCCUAGCCUGGGAAGACUGACUUCUGUGACCAACCACAUCUUUGUUUGGUUUAGAGGCCCUGCUUCAGUGAACAAAGUGAGAGAGCAACUGAAGACAAUUCCCAACGGAAGCAUGGGUAUGUACACUAUGUACAUGCCAGUACCCACAGAUGCCAAAAAGAGGUCAGAGCCCUUGGAACUGGAGUUAAGGACAGUUGUGAGCCAUCUUGUUGGUCUUCUACAAAAACAUCUGGUCCUCCUGCGCCCACAUCAGAAGAACCGUGUGAAACCACCCAGCAGAGUCAGGCAAGUGGAAUGAAAACAAAUGACAAAUCAUGGCUCUGGAACGAAGGAGGGGAACAACUGGAGAGACU